AUUGAACGCUGGCGGCAGGCCUAACACAUGCAAGUCGAGCGGAUGAGUGGAGCUUGCUCCAUGAUUCAGCGGCGGGCGGGUGAGUAAUGCCUAGGAAUCUGCCUGGUAGUGGGGGACAACGUUUCGAAAGGAACGCUAAUACCGCAUACGUCCUACGGGAGAAAGUGGGGGAUCUUCGGACCUCACGCUAUCAGAUGAGCCUAGGUCGGAUUAGCUAGUUGGUGAGGUAAAGGCUCACCAAGGCGACGAUCCGUAACUGGUCUGAGAGGAUGAUCAGUCACACUGGAACUGAGACACGGUCCAGACUCCUACGGGAGGCAGCAGUGGGGAAUAUUGGACAAUGGGCGAAAGCCUGAUCCAGCCAUGCCGCGUGUGUGAAGAAGGUCUUCGGAUUGUAAAGCACUUUAAGUUGGGAGGAAGGGCAGUAAGUUAAUACCUUGCUGUUUUGACGUUACCAACAGAAUAAGCACCGGCUAACUUCGUG
rnacentral:rRNA from 1 species